UACGUAGGUGGCAAGCGUUGUCCGGAAUUAUUGGGCGUAAAGCGCGCGCAGGCGGUUUCUUAAGUCUGAUGUGAAAGCCCCCGGCUCAACCGGGGAGGGUCAUUGGAAACUGGGAAACUUGAGUGCAGAAGAGGAAAGUGGAAUUCCCGGUGUAGCAGUGAAAUGCGUAGAGAUCGGGAGGAACAUCAGUUGCGAAGGCGGCUCUCUGGACCAGCACUGACACUGAGGCACGAAAGCGUGGGGAGCAAACAGG
rnacentral:rRNA from 1 species